rnacentral:rRNA from 1 species
CCGUAUGGCGACCGGCGCACGGGUGAGUAACACGUAUCCAACCUGCCGAUAACUCGGGGAUAGCCUUUCGAAAGAAAGAUUAAUAUCCGAUAGGAUAUCAAGGUCGCAUGAUCUUGAUAUUAAAGAAUUUCGGUUAUCGAUGGGGAUGCGUUCCAUUAGUUAGUUGGCGGGGUAACGGCCCACCAAGACGACGAUGGAUAGGGGUUCUGAGAGGAAGGUCCCCCACCAUUGGAACUGAGACACGGUCCAAACUCCUACGGGAGGCAGCAG